UCUCCGUAGGUGAACCUGCGGAAGGAUCAUUCAUAAUAGGUGUUUUAUGGCACUUUUUUAAAUCCGUAUCCACCUUGUGUGCAAUGUCAGGGUUGAUUUUUCUCUCGAGAGGAUCAACCCCAAACAUCAACUAUAUCUCAACUCUUUGUCUGAAAAAUAUUAUGAAUAAAACAAUUCAAAAUACAACUUUCAACAACGGAUCUCUUGGCUCUC
rnacentral:misc_RNA from 1 species